rnacentral:rRNA from 1 species
AUUGAACGCUGGCGGUAUGCUUAAGACAUGCAAGUCGGACGGAGUACUUCGGUACUCAGUGGCGGACGGGUGAGUAACACGUGGGAAUCUGCCCAGUAGUGGGGGACAGCCCGGAGAAAUCCGGAUUAAUACCGCAUACGCCCUACGGGGAAAGGCAGCAAUGCGCUAUUGGAUGAGCCCGCGUUAGAUUAGCUGGUUGGUGGGGUAAAGGCCCACCAAGGCGACGAUCUAUAGCUGGUCUGAGAGGAUGGCCAGCCACAUUGGGACUGAGACACGGCCCAGACUCCUACGGGAGGCAGCAGUCGGGAAUAUUGGACAAUGGGCGCAAGCCUGAUCCAGCAAUACCGCGUGUGUGAAGAAGGCCUGCGGGGUUGUAAAGCACUUUCAGUGGGGAAGAUAAUGACGUUACCCACAGAAGAAGCACCGGCUAACUCCGUG